GAUGAACGCUGGCGGCGUGCCUAAUACAUGCAAGUCGAGCGAACGGACGAGAAGCUUGCUUCUCUGAUGUUAGCGGCGGACGGGUGAGUAACACGUGGAUAACCUACCUAUAAGACUGGGAUAACUUCGGGAAACCGGAGCUAAUACCGGAUAAUAUUUUGAACCGCAUGGUUCAAAAGUGAAAGACGGUCUUGCGGUCACUUAUAGAUGGAUCCGCGCUGCAUUAGCUAGUUGGUAAGGUAACGGCUUACCAAGGCAACGCUGCAUAGCCGACCUGAGAGGGUGAUCGGCCACACUGGAACUGAGACACGGUCCAGACUCCUACGGGAGGCAGCAGUAGGGAAUCUUCCGCAAUGGGCGAAAGCCUGACGGAGCAACGCCGCGUGAGUGAUGAAGGUCUUCGGAUCGUAAAACUCUGUUAUUAGGGAAGAACAUAUGUGUAAGUAACUGUGCACAUCUUGACGGUACCUAAUCAGAAAGCCACGGCUAACUACGUG
rnacentral:rRNA from 1 species